rnacentral:lncRNA from 1 species
UUAAUUUUCAUAUGUGAAUGUUGUCCUGGUUCAUGUUCCAAUAUUCUGAAAUGUUUGAAAUUUUUGUCUUUCAUAGGUUCCAAGAUUGUCGGAAAUGGAGCCAGUAUACUAGGAGGAUUGGCUAAAAUGCUGAACAAAACAAUCAGAGAUGAGGUGAUGAUUUCAAGAAUACAAUUCGAUAACCAUACACAAGAGGAAUUGCCAACACUCGAAAUUGAAUACGCAGUACUCAGUGAGGAGAAUAAAGGUGGGGAGACAAGCCAUAAGCAGAGACUUGAGAAGCGUGCAGUACUGCCUGUGCUUAAAGGUAUCCUUGGCGGUGUGCUUAAAGGUUUGUUCUUUUUGUAGCUCUGGGGAGAGGAGAGGACACUGAGAGUGGGAACAGUCCUCACUGGCCCAUGAUUCAAUCAAAAUUCCUG